rnacentral:rRNA from 1 species
UACGUAGGGUGCAAGCGUUGCCCGGAUUUAUUGGGCGUAAAGGGCGCGUAGGCGGCUCGGCACGUCCGUUGUGAAAUCGCCCGGCUCAACUGGGCGGGGUCAGCGGAUACGGUCGAGCUUGAGCAAGCUAGGGGGCAAUGGAAUUCCCGGUGUAGUGGUGGAAUGCGUAGAUAUCGGGAGGAACACCUAUGGCGAAGGCAGCUCGCUGGGACGUUACUGACGCUGAGACGCGAAAGCGUGGGGAGCAAACAGG